rnacentral:piRNA from 1 species
UGACUAUUUUGUAUGUUUGAUACUGUUGC